UGCCUGGCGGCUGUAGCGCGGUGGUCCCACCUGACCCCAUGCCGAACUCAGAAGUGAAACGCCGUAGCGCCGAUGGUAGUGUGGGGUCUCCCCAUGCGAG
rnacentral:rRNA from 1 species